rnacentral:pre_miRNA from 1 species
AGUGGAAUUGCUGGGUCAUAUGGUGACUCUGUGUUUAACUUUUUGAGGAACUACCAGAUGGUUGUCCAAAGUCACUGUACCAUUUUAUAUUCCUACCAGCAAU